UCCUGGCUGGCUCAGUGAGUAGAGCAUGUGACUCUUGAUCUUGGGGUCAUGGGUUCGAGCCCCAUGUUGAGCA
rnacentral:tRNA from 1 species